GAUUAUGGCUCAGAACGAACGCUGGCGGCAGGCUUAACACAUGCAAGUCGAACGCACCGCAAGGUGAGUGGCAGACGGGUGAGUAACGCGUGGGAACCUUCCCUUUGGUACGGAAUAACUUCGGGAAACCGAAGCUAAUACCGUAUAUCUCCUGUGGGAGAAAGAUUUAUCGCCAAAGGAUGGGCCCGCGUUGGAUUAGCUAGUUGGUAGGGUAAAAGCCUACCAAGGCGACGAUCCAUAGCUGGUCUGAGAGGAUGAUCAGCCACACUGGGACUGAGACACGGCCCAGACUCCUACGGGAGGCAGCAGUGGGGAAUAUUGGACAAUGGGCGCAAGCCUGAAUCCAGCCAUGCCGCGUGAGUGAAGAAGGCCUUAGGGUUGUAAAGCUCUUUUGGCGGGGACGAUAAUGACGGUACCCGCAGAAUAAGCCCCGGCUAACUUCGUGCCAGCAGCCGC
rnacentral:rRNA from 1 species